rnacentral:rRNA from 1 species
GACAGAGGUGCCAAGCGUUAGGCGGAAUCACUGGGCUUAAAGCGUGUGUAGGCGGACUGGUAAGUACGUUGUGAAAUCCCCCGGCUCACCCGGGGAACUGCUGGGCAUACUGGGCGUCUUGGGCCAACUAGGGGCAGCCGGAACAAGCGGUGGAGCGGUGAAAUGCGUAGAUAUCGCUUGGAACGCCGAAGGUGAAAACAGGCUGCUGGGGUUGCGCCGACGCUGAGACACGAAAGCCAGGGGAGCAAACGGG